ACCGGCGAUACCCGAAUGGGGAAACCCAGUGUGAUUCGUCACACUAUCAUUAACUGAAUCCAUAGGUUAAUGAGGCGAACCGGGGGAACUGAAACAUCUAAGUACCCCGAGGAAAAGAAAUCAACCGAGAUUCCCCCAGUAGCGGCGAGCGAACGGGGAGGAGCCCAGAGCCUGAAUCAGCAUGUGUGUUAGUGGAAGCGUCUGGAAAGGUGCGCGAUACAGGGUGACAGCCCCGUACACAAAAGCGCAUGUGCUGUGAGCUCGAUGAGUAGGGCGGGACACGUGGUAUCCUGUCUGAAUAUGGGGGGACCAUCCUCCAAGGCUAAAUACUCCUGACUGACCGAUAGUGAACCAGUACCGUGAGGGAAAGGCGAAAAGAACCCCGGCGAGGGGAGUGAAAAAGAACCUGAAACCGUGUACGUACAAGCAGUGGGAGCCCCACCACCAAAGCAUUCUCUGGUGUUGAAGGCCCUGCAAAGCAGCAUCGCGGUGGCGGAGCGUCGUUUGCGACGCCCAACACACAAAACAAGCGGUGAAUGCUUUGGGGUGGGGUGACUGCGUACCUUUUGUAUAAUGGGUCAGCGACUUAUAUUCUGUAGCAAGGUUAACCGAAUAGGGGAGCCGGAGGGAAACCGAGUCUUAAUUGGGCGUUAAGUUGCAGGGUAUAGACCCGAAACCCGGUGAUCUAGCCAUGGGCAGGUUGAAGGUUGGGUAACACUAACUGGAGGACCGAACCGACUAAUGUUGAAAAAUUAGCGGAUGACCUGUGGCUGGGGGUGAAAGGCCAAUCAAACCGGGAGAUAGCUGGUUCUCCCCGAAAGCUAUUUAGGUAGCGCCUCGUGAAUUCAUCUCCGGGGGUAGAGCACUGUUUCGGCUAGGGGGCCAUCCCGGCUUACCAACCCGAUGCAAACUGCGAAUACCGGAGAAUGUUAUCACGGGAGACACACGGCGGGUGCUAACGUCCGUCGUGAAGAGGGAAACAACCCAGACCGCCAGCUAAGGUCCCAAAGUCAUGGUUAAGUGGGAAACGAUGUGGGAAGGCCCAGACAGCCAGGAUGUUGGCUUAGAAGCAGCCAUCAUUUAAAGAAAGCGUAAUAGCUCACUGGUCGAGUCGGCCUGCGCGGAAGAUGUAACGGGGCUAAACCAUGCACCGAAGCUGCGGCAGCGAACGUAUCACCCAAGACAACUUUACGGAGUUGACGAUUGACGGAGCGAAGCGACGUCAAAGCGUUCAUUAAAGUCGAGUUGGCUUAGGGAUACGUUCGUUGGGUAGGGGAGCGUUCUGUAAGCCUGUGAAGGUGUGUCGUGAGGCAUGCUGGAGGUAUCAGAAGUGCGAAUGCUGACAUAAGUAACGAUAAAGCGGGUGAAAAGCCCGCUCGCCGGAAGACCAAGGGUUCCUGUCCAACGUUAAUCGGGGCAGGGUGAGUCGACCCCUAAGGCGAGGCCGAAAGGCGUAGUCGAUGGGAAACGGGUUAAUAUUCCCGUACUUGGUGUUACUGCGAAGGGGGGACGGAGAAGGCUAUGUUGGCCGGGCGACGGUUGUCCCGGUUUAAGCGUGUAGGUGUGUGUUCCAGGUAAAUCCGGUUCACUUUAACACUGAGGCGUGACGACGAGGCACUACGGUGCUGAAGCAACAAAUGCCCUGCUUCCAGGAAAAGCCUCUAAGCAUCAGGUAACACGAAAUCGUACCCCAAACCGACACAG
rnacentral:rRNA from 1 species